UGGGGAAUUUUGGACAAUGGGCGAAAGCCUGAUCCAGCAAUGCCGCGUGUGUGAAGAAGGCCUUCGGGUUGUAAAGCACUUUUGUCCGGAAAGAAAUCCUUGGCUCUAAUACAGUCGGGGGAUGACGGUACCGGAAGAAUAAGCACCGGCUAACUACGUGCCAGCAGCCGCGGUAAUACGUAGGGUGCAAGCGUUAAUCGGAAUUACUGGGCGUAAAGCGUGCGCAGGCGGUUUGCUAAGACCGAUGUGAAAUCCCCGGGCUCAACCUGGGAACUGCAUUGGUGACUGGCAGGCUAGAGUAUGGCAGAGGGGGGUAGAAUUCCACGUGUAGCAGUGAAAUGCGUAGAGAUGUGGAGGAAUACCGAUGGCGAAGGCAGCCCCCUGGCCAAGUACUGACGCUCAUGCACGAAAAGCGUGGGGAGCAAAACAGGAUUAGAUACCCUGGUAGUCCACGCCCUAAAACGAUGUCAACUAGUUGUU
rnacentral:rRNA from 1 species